rnacentral:rRNA from 1 species
UUAAGCGACUAAGCGUACACGGUGGAUGCCCUGGCAGUCAGAGGCGAUGAAGGACGUGCUAAUCUGCGAAAAGCGUCGGUAAGGUGAUAUGAACCGUUAUAACCGGCGAUGUCCGAAUGGGGAAACCCAGUGUGAUUCGUCACACUAUCGUUAACUGAAUACAUAGGUUAACGAGGCGAACCGGGGGAACUGAAACAUCUAAGUACCCCGAGGAAAAGAAAUCAACCGAGAUUCCCCCAGUAGCGGCGAGCGAACGGGGAGCAGCCCAGAGUCUGAAUCAGCUUGUGUGUUAGUGGAACGGUCUGGAAAGUCCGACGGUACAGGGUGAUAGUCCCGUACACCAAAAUGCACAGGCUGUGAACUCGAAGAGUAGGGCGGGACACGUGGUAUCCUGUCUGAAUAUGGGGGGACCAUCCUCCAAGGCUAAAUACUCCUGACUGACCGAUAGUGAACCAGUACCGUGAGGGAAAGGCGAAAAGAACCCCGGCGAGGGGAGUGAAAAAGAACCUGAAACCGUGUACGUACAAGCAGUGGGAGCACCUUCGGGUGUGACUGCGUACCUUUUGUAUAAUGGGUCAGCGACUUAUAUUCUGUAGCAAGGUUAACCGUAUAGGGGAGCCGCAGGGAAACCGAGUCUUAACUGGGCGUUAAGUUGCAGGGUAUAGACCCGAAACCCGGUGAUCUAGCCAUGGGCAGGUUGAAGGUUGGGUAACACUAACUGGAGGACCGAACCGACUAAUGUUGAAAAAUUAGCGGAUGACUUGUGGCUGGGGGUGAAAGGCCAAUCAAACCGGGAGAUAGCUGGUUCUCCCCGAAAGCUAUUUAGGUAGCGCCUCGUGAACUCAUCUUCGGGGGUAGAGCACUGUUUCGGCUAGGGGGUCAUCCCGACUUACCAACCCGAUGCAAACUACGAAUACCGAAGAAUGUUAUCACGGGAGACACACGGCGGGUGCUAACGUCCGUCGUGAAGAGGGAAACAACCCAGACCGCCAGCUAAGGUCCCAAAGUCAUGGUUAAGUGGGAAACGAUGUGGGAAGGCACAGACAGCCAGGAUGUUGGCUUAGAAGCAGCCAUCAUUUAAAGAAAGCGUAAUAGCUCACUGGUCGAGUCGGCCUGCGCGGAAGAUGUAACGGGGCUAAACCAUGCACCGAAGCUGCGGCAGCGACACUAUGUGUUGUUGGGUAGGGGAGCGUUCUGUAAGCCUGCGAAGGUGUGCUGUGAGGCAUGCUGGAGGUAUCAGAAGUGCGAAUGCUGACAUAAGUAACGAUAAAGCGGGUGAAAAGCCCGCUCGCCGGAAGACCAAGGGUUCCUGUCCAACGUUAAUCGGGGCAGGGUGAGUCGACCCCUAAGGCGAGGCCGAAAGGCGUAGUCGAUGGGAAACAGGUUAAUAUUCCUGUACUUGGUGUUACUGCGAAGGGGGGACGGAGAAGGCUAUGUUAGCCGGGCGACGGUUGUCCCGGUUUAAGCAUGUAGGCUGGUUAUCCAGGCAAAUCCGGAUAAUCAAGGCUGAGGUGUGAUGACGAGGCACUACGGUGCUGAAGUAACAAAUGCCCUGCUUCCAGGAAAAGCCUCUAAGCAUCAGGUAACAUCAAAUCGUACCCCAAACCGACACAGGUGGUCAGGUAGAGAAUACCAAGGCGCUUGAGAGAACUCGGGUGAAGGAACUAGGCAAAAUGGUGCCGUAACUUCGGGAGAAGGCACGCUGGUGUGUAGGUGAAGCCCCUGCGGGUGGAGCUGAGACCAGUCGAAGAUACCAGCUGGCUGCAACUGUUUAUUAAAAACACAGCACUGUGCAAACACGAAAGUGGACGUAUACGGUGUGACGCCUGCCCGGUGCCGGAAGGUUAAUUGAUGGGGUUAUCCGUAAGGAGAAGCUCUUGAUCGAAGCCCCGGUAAACGGCGGCCGUAACUAUAACGGUCCUAAGGUAGCGAAAUUCCUUGUCGGGUAAGUUCCGACCUGCACGAAUGGCGUAAUGAUGGCCAGGCUGUCUCCACCCGAGACUCAGUGAAAUUGAACUCGCUGUGAAGAUGCAGUGUACCCGCGGCAAGACGGAAAGACCCCGUGAACCUUUACUAUAGCUUGACACUGAACAUUGAGCCUUGAUGUGUAGGAUAGGUGGGAGGCUUUGAAGCGUGGACGCCAGUCUGCGUGGAGCCAACCUUGAAAUACCACCCUUUAAUGUUUGAUGUUCUAACGUUGGCCCCUGACCGGGGUUGCGGACAGUGUCUGGUGGGUAGUUUGACUGGGGCGGUCUCCUCCCAAAGCGUAACGGAGGAGCACGAAGGUUAGCUAAUCCUGGUCGGACAUCAGGAGGUUAGUGCAAUGGCAUAAGCUAGCUUGACUGCGAGCGUGACGGCGCGAGCAGGUGCGAAAGCAGGUCAUAGUGAUCCGGUGGUUCUGAAUGGAAGGGCCAUCGCUCAACGGAUAAAAGGUACUCCGGGGAUAACAGGCUGAUACCGCCCAAGAGUUCAUAUCGACGGCGGUGUUUGGCACCUCGAUGUCGGCUCAUCACAUCCUGGGGCUGAAGUAGGUCCCAAGGGUAUGGCUGUUCGCCAUUUAAAGUGGUACGCGAGCUGGGUUUAGAACGUCGUGAGACAGUUCGGUCCCUAUCUGCCGUGGGCGCUGGAGAAUUGAGGGGGGCUGCUCCUAGUACGAGAGGACCGGAGUGGACGCAUCACUGGUGUUCGGGUUGUCAUGCCAAUGGCACUGCCCGGUAGCUAAAUGCGGAAGAGAUAAGUGCUGAAAGCAUCUAAGCACGAAACUUGCCCCGAGAUGAGUUCUCCCUGAGACUUUAAGUCUCCUGAAGGAACGUUAAAGACGAUGACGUUGAUAGGCCGGGUGUGUAAGCGCAGCGAUGCGUUGAGCUAACCGGUACUAAUGAACCGUGAGGCUUAACCUU